rnacentral:sRNA from 1 species
GCCCAGCUACAGGUUGUUGGCGACUUUCGAAUGCUGUUCCUGAUGUGAAUGUUGCAGGAAACAGCCUUGGUGGGGCAUUAGCCUGCAUGGCGAUGCUUCGACUAAAGGCACCCACCCAUAGCGUUCACGCGGAGAAUUUUCCAAUCUACUCCUUUCACUGCGCCAGUGUCUGUGGCCGCGGGUCUCUCUACGACAGAGCCUAUUGAGGAGGAACACACCCUUCAAUAUAACCCAAGCCAUUUUUACCCUAUACGCUUAUACAAAGUCCUAAAUAAUAGAUAUCAAGUUGUCGCGAAACUUGGUUGGGGUACAAGUUCAACUGUGUGGCUGGCACAAGAUUUACAUCAAUGGCGCUGGCUACCAGGGCGUUAUGUUACAGUCAAGGUCAGUGCAAACAACUAUGCGGAUGAAAAUCUGCUGAAACGGAAUUACAUAUAACAGAGCA